rnacentral:rRNA from 1 species
UACGUAGGGUGCGAGCGUUGUCCGGAAUUAUUGGGCGUAAAGAGCUCGUAGGCGGCUUGUCGCGUCGGAUGUGAAAGCCCGGGGCUUAACUCCGGGUCUGCAUUCGAUACGGGCAGGCUAGAGUUCGGUAGGGGAGAUCGGAAUUCUGGUGUAGCGGUGAAAUGACGCAGAUAUCAGGAGGAACACCGGUGGCGAAGGCGGAUCUCUGGGCCGAUACUGACGCUGAGGAGCGAAAGCGUGGGGAGCGAACAGG